GAUGAACGCUGGCGGCGUGCCUAAUACAUGCAAGUCGAACGCAUUGUGGUUGAAAUGAUAUGAAGAACUUGUUCAGAUUUGAUUUUCAACAUUGCAAUGAGUGGCGAACGGGUGAGUAACACGUGGGAAACCUACCUCUUAGCAGGGGAUAACAUUUGGAAACAAAUGCUAAUACCGUAUAAUAAUUAAAACCGCAUGGUUUUAGUUUAAAAGAUGGUCUUGCUAUCACUAAGAGAUGGUCCCGCGGUGUAUUAGUUAGUUGGUGAGGUAAUGGCUCACCAAGACAAUGAUACAUAGCCGAGUUGAGAGACUGACCGGCCACAAUGGGACUGAGACACGGCCCAUACUCCUACGGGAGCAGCAGUAGGGAAUCUUCCACAAUGGACGAAAGUCUGAUGGAGCAACGCCGCGUGUGUGAUGAAGGGUUUCGGCUCGUAAAACACUGUUGUAAGAGAAGAAUGACAUUGAGAGUAACUGUUCAAUGUGUGACGGUAUCUU
rnacentral:rRNA from 1 species